GGAGGGAACCGUCACCAGGGGCUGAGCGCGAGCGGCGGGAGGGAGCCGUCACCGAGGGCUGAGCACGAGCGCCGGGAGGGAGCCGUCACCGAGGGCUGAGCACGAGCGCCGGGAGGGAGCCGUCACCGAGGGCUGAGCACGAGCGCCGGGAGGGAGCCGUCACCGGGGACUGUGCACGAGAGACGGACGGGAGCCACUGAUACAGGAAGCGCUGCCGAGCUUUGCCGGCGCCAUGAGGUCGGUCAGUUAUGUGGAGAGAGUGGCGCUGGAUUUCAGCGGAAACCUGUUCACACAGGCCAUCUGUCUGGGAGACACCGACAACGACGGGUUAAAUGAGCUUGUGGUUGGGGAUACCAAUGGGAAACUAUAUGUGUAUAAGAGCGAUGACUGCAAGCCAUGGAUUACCCGAUCUUGCAUAGGAAUGGUAACUUGUGUUGGUGUAGGAGACAUCUGCAACAAAGGGAAGAAUUUUGUUGUGGCUGUGGGUGCUGAGGGCUGGUUCCAUAUCUUUGACCUCAGUGGCAUAUCAACUAAGUCAGACACAUCCAGUCACCAUGACUUCCUGUUUGGUGAUGAACAGAAAGCAUUUUUCACACAGCACAUCCCUGCCAAUACUAAGGUGAUGCUCAUCAGUGAUAUAGAUGGAGAUGGAAAGUGUGAAAUGGUGGUAGGUUACACUGACCGUGUAGUGAGAGCAUUCCGUUGGGAAGAUUCCUCUAUUGAUUGUUCUGGACAGCUGGUGCUGCUGAAAAAGUGGCUUCUGGAAGGGCAGGUGGACAGUCUUACAGUGAAUCCCGGGCCUGAUGGGACUCCAGAACUAAUGGUCUCACAGCCAGGCUGUGGAUAUGCAGUUCUACUCUGUACCUGGAGACUGGAUCAAGAGAGGACACCAAGAGGAGAUCCAUCUGGAGCCUCUAACAGUGAGGGUCUCAUCCGUGAUGUUAUUCUUCACCAGACUUCAGGCCGGAUUCACAAUAAAAAUGUUUCCACUCAUUUAAUUGGUAGCAUCAACAGAGGCUCGUGUGAUGACUUGUCCAAGUCUGGCUUGUUUGCUCUUUGCACAUUGGAUGGUACCCUGAAGCUGAUGGAUGGGUCAGAUAAACUCCUGUGGUCUGUUCAAGUAGAUCAUCAGCUCUUUGCCUUGGAAAAGUUAGAUGUAACAGGUGAUGGACGAGAGGAAGUAGUGGCCUGUGCUUGGGAUGGUCAAACCUACAUCAUUGACCAAAAUAGGUCUGUUGUCCGAUUUCAGUUUGAUGAAAAUGUCAGUGCAUUUUGUGCUGGCAUAUAUGCGUGCAAAAAUGGUCGGAAUAGUCCCUGUCUGGUGUAUGUCAGCUUCAAUCACAAAAUAUACGUGUACUGGAGGGUGGAACUGGAGAGAAUGGAAUCCACCAAUAUCUUAAAGGUGUUGGAGACAGAUGAGUUCCAGAACCUACUGCAAGGAGCAUCUGUGGGUGUAAAUAACAGCAGUGCUGUCCAAACCAUGAUUCACCAGACACUCUACUUUCCUGACCAGCUUCAGGACACAACCACAAGGAGGAUAAAUAGCGACAAACUAUGUUAAGCUGGAACUAUCUGAUCAACCAUGAACUAUUUGGGGGGAAAAGCAAAGAACACUCAUGAUGACCUGGAUUGAAAGAGAUGUUGUUUCUAGAAAGCUCCACGAUUGAGUAAACAGCUCCCUCCCUCCCUCAGGCUAUGUACAUCUCAGUGCUUGUUCAUCUGACCAUGAAAAACAAAGAUGAUCAGAACAGAGACUGCGAGUAUGAUGUUUGGUUCCCCUAUCUUUUUCAGGAACCAAACAAAUAGUACUGUCACAGAGGAGAUCUCUCACAAAGACCUUUCCAAUUUUUUCAGCUCCUAUCCUCAUCUCCACAUCCUCGUUAAUUAAAUACUCUCUUUUGUGGCCU